rnacentral:sRNA from 1 species
UAACGUGCACGCGCACUCGUGCGGCGCCCGCGAGCCCUCACUUCCUACAACCCGAGACCCUCCGGACCCGCGACCCCGGACCCCCGUCCCCUUCUCCGCGCCCGGCUGGGCAGCGGGCAGCCCCGGACCCUGAUGGGCUCUCGGCCCUUACUGCCCCUGCGCCUUGCGGCCCUGAGAACAAGACGUGAGCAGGACGGAUAGCGCCCGGCACUCAUGUCUGAGUUUGCAUUUUGAGCAGUGAGAAUGAAAGGUGACUGAUACAACAACGUAGAGGACCCUGCAAUGUGGAGAGGCAUGAAACUGGAGGUCCAAAUCCGUGAGUUAACAACCAAGACGUCCAUACAGGAGAUGCAUUGGUGGAUGGGUGAAGAGAUGAUAAAACGAAAAGCCCAGAGGAGAAAUGAAGAUGCAAAGAGAAAGAAAAAAACCCCAACCAGAGAGCUGCAAGGAUAUCAGGAAGAGGGAGUGUCCGGGGACGGAGCAGAGCGCGCUUUUCCGAACGCCUUACUCCGGGCUGGGGCUGCUUUCUGCAAGCCCGUGCGGUGCACGUGAGGAGGCUUUCCUUGCGGUGGUGAAAUCAAACACACCUAAGGCGGGAGUCCUCCAGACUUUCCUCACCUGGGCAGCUUGGCCCCGGCCACCUGUGCCUCGCCCGGAGAAACUCCAACGUGCAGGGCACUGAUGGACGAGAUAGAGCACGACAUCACCAAGGCUCGGCAGAAGAAGACCAAGGUGGGAUCCUUCCGAAUCAAUCCUGAUGGGACGCAGGAGAGGAGAAAGAUCCCCCUAGCCCAGUCGGAGGCGUUCCUAACGGACCUUUUGCAGAAAGUCUGUGAGCGAAUGAACGACUACAAGCUUGAGGAAGACCCUGUGACGAAGGAGAGAACUUUCAAGAGAUUCGCUCCUAGGAAAGGAGACAAAAUAUACCAGGAAUUUAAACAAUUGUAUUUUUAUUCUGAUGCUUACAGACCUUUGAAAUUUGCGUGUGAAACUAUAAUAGAAGAGUAUGAAGAUGAAAUAUUCUCACUUAUCGCCCAGGAGACACACUAUCUAGCUGACAAGCUGUGCAGUGAAAAAUCAGAUCUGUGUGAAACUUCUGCUAAUCAUACUGAGCUCUAGGAGUGCCGUGCUGCUGGUCAUAGAGAGGAGUAAAGUCACACCCAAAGGUGAAGCUGAGGAGUACAUGAAACUUAAAUUAACCUUUGCAGAUUUUGAUAAAUCAAGCUUGACAAUAGAGGAUUUAAUUCUGUAUUGAGGAAAAAAGUGAAGACAUUUCAUAAACAAAAUAGGGAUUUCAUAAUGUAUGCUGCUUAUUUUAUAACAGUGUAUGUGCACAUAUGCAAGCGCAGUAGCUGUCUGAUAAGAACUGGAUUUGAAUCCUCAAAUACUUGAUUGCCUACAAAUUUAAGGAAAUACAUGGCAACAAAUUCAAAAUAUGGCCUUCUGGGUGAGAUAUGGCUAUUGGUGAAAGAAACCCACUUUUUAUCAGGAAUGAAAUUUAAAUUUUUAGAAACCACAAGUUUAAAAACCCAUCUCUAAAAUUUAGUGGAAUGUGUAAAAACUAAUGAGUGCUUUAAUUUAUAGUAAACAAUAAUUAUAUUGGCCUCUCAAACACCAUUCUGAGUUUAAGUGGCUUAGAAAGUUGAUUUAUUAUUGCAUCAGGUGUUAAAAGAUGACACUAGUGAUUGCGUUUUGUUUUGCUCCAAACUCUUCUGGUUUGUUUGUUUUUCUUCUAAAGGUUUUUUUGGCUCACAUUUAGUGUGCUGAGUUUACUACUAAAUAAUCUACCAUUCUUCUACAGGAAUGGAAAAAGAGUUGGGACCUGGUGGGAAAUUAUCUUUUGGCCACACUUAAUAUACAAAGUCUAGUAACAAUCACUCCCGGAAAUUUCUUUAUCUCUGUUACAUUUGCAUUCAAUGGAAUCUGACUUUAAUGAUUAAAAAUGUCAGGGUAUGGUCUACACCAGUUUCUAAAAAGAGAUUCUCAUUGUUUUGGUGACAAUCAAGUGGGUAGGAUGCUACAAAUCCCCCCCUCCCAAGACCCAAAACUCUUUGCCAUAUUGUUACUUAGUUGCUUAAAAAGCACGUUAUGUGUUUAAAUCAUUCUCCUGACCCUUCAGCAGGAAACAAUUCUUAAAUUUAGGAAAAUUUACCAAAGCUAAGGGGAAGGGCUUUCCAUGCCCCCUCCCCACCUAAACUCUGAUUAAAAGUUAGUGAGUUAAUGUCACUUAAUUACUUGGGUGCUUCUUUUUUGUCUUGUCUGUGGCUGCUUAAGUCUGAUGGCUCCUACAUAACCCAGCGAACUCGUGCUAGAGCUGACACACCAUGGAAAUAGAACUGAAUAAUAAUUAACACUAUUUUCCAGUAGGGUAGGACAAUUGUUAUUUAAAACAUAGUCCCUAUAGCUUUAUUUAAACGUAUCUAGUUAAGGUUAAUUUGGCAUUUAAAGUAGUAAAUCAGGAACAUUCUCCUAACUUGGAUUUUCCUGGGAAAUGCACUAAACAGGACAAUUAUUCCUGAAAACCUAGUGACCUUCACAGGAACAUGGCGGGACCUGUGACACUAAGUAAGCUUCAGUGAAAACUGUUCACAGUCGUAACCGUAGAAGUGUUGCCAAAUCUGUUUCCAUACUCUCAUUGAUCAUCAUCAAACAUUCUCAAAUGUAGGCAAUGCUAACACUAAUUAUAGAAAUUAAGAAAAUGUGGGCUCCUGUUUGUAACUAAACAGACGUGGGGA